GAUGAACGCUGGCGGCGUGCCUAAUACAUGCAAGUCGAGCGAACAGACGAGGAGCUUGCUCCUCUGACGUUAGCGGCGGACGGGUGAGUAACACGUGGAUAACCUACCUAUAAGACUGGGAUAACUACGGGAAACCGGAGCUAAUACCGGAUAAUAUAUUGAACCGCAUGGUUCAAUAGUGAAAGACGGUUUUGCUGUCACUUAUAGAUGGAUCCGCGCUGCAUUAGCUAGUUGGUAAGGUAACGGCUUACCAAGGCAACGAUGCAUAGCCGACCUGAGAGGGUGAUCGGCCACACUGGAACUGAGACACGGUCCAGACUCCUACGGGAGGCAGCAGUAGGGAAUCUUCCGCAAUGGGCGAAAGCCUGACGGAGCAACGCCGCGUGAGUGAUGAAGGUCUUCGGAUCGUAAAACUCUGUUAUUAGGGAAGAACAAAUGUGUAAGUAACUAUGCACGUCUUGACGGUACCUAAUCAGAAAGCCACGGCUAACUACGUG
rnacentral:rRNA from 1 species